AAUACGUUCCCGGACCUUGUACACACCGCCCGUCAAGCCAUGGAAGCCGGGUGUACCUAAAGUCGGUAACCGCAAGGGAGGCAGGUCCUUAAGGAGUGACUGGUAACUGGGGUG
rnacentral:rRNA from 1 species